GGCCCUCUCACAUGGAUCUAGCCACCAUACUGUGAGGAAGCCAAAGCUAUGUGGAGAAGCUACAUACAGAUAUUCUGGCCAAGAGUCUCAGCUAAGCUCCCAGCCAACAGCCAGUACUGGCUGCCAGAGGUCUUCCUCCCUUCACCUUCCCCAAACUCUCCAAGAACUGAAGAUGUGUACUCAGUGCAUCAGGAUCUGCUCUGAGCCAGCUGCAAAGGAGCCUGGGAAGGUGAGCCUCUUGUCUGGGGCUAAGACGUUAUCACCACGAACAAAAUUGGUAUAUUGAAGCAACGAGGAAGAGGAAGAUGCCAUACCCUUCCCCCUACAAUCUUCCCAGGUGGCACAGGACCCCCAGGGCCCCUUCCCAACAACCCCAGGAA
rnacentral:lncRNA from 1 species